rfam:Aedes aegypti strain Liverpool supercont1.736 genomic scaffold, whole genome shotgun sequence.
CCUCUCAUGGCGUAGUGGUUAACGCGCCCCAACUAGAGAUGGGGGAGUCGUGAGUUCGAUUUUCACUGAGAAGA